UGAAGGUACUCCUAUCAUUUUUGCUUCAGAUGGCCAACUUAGAAGCAGACUUCAAGUUUGGUUUUUAGCUCUGGAAUGUGGAGCAUGGCUGCUACCUACUACUUCUUAAAUUACUGAACUGAGAAAAUUAAGGUGAAUACGAAAUUCAUGUCAAGCUGAUACAUUCCCAUUUAGCUUGUUGGACCUCCAGUACUGUUCAUUGAAAAGCUUGGAGCGUCACUGGAACUGGCUUUGCUUCAUUUCCAUCAUCUAAUACAAAGAAAAGAUGACCCACAGGAGGCAAUACAGACCUUAGUUUCCCUUCAGCAACAAAUUAAGGAACUAGAAAAUUACUGUGUUGCUCUGAACAAGGCAAUAAUUCAGACUUUAGACUUAAAAAUAACCUGUGGUGUAUCCCUGCAUAUGCAACCACCAGCAGCAUGACAAUCAAAAUGACAUUGAUUCAGUAGGUGCUCUUAAUCAUCAUUACAGGUCUCUGGCCCAGUGCUGUCAACACCAAGAUUGGCCAACAUCUGCUCUCAGGCAUUUCAGCACACAGCCCUCCACGCUGCUGUGUGUGUGCCAAGGCUUUGGUAGCAGGGGGGCUGCAGGGGUGGUUUCUGGGAGAAGCUGCCAGAAGAGCCUCCACAUCCAACAGAGCCAAAGCCAGGAGGCUCCAGGAUGGACCUGCCACUGGUCAAGGCUGGGCCAAUCAGCAGUGGUGGUAGUGCCUCUGGGAUAAUGGAUUUAAGGGGAAAAGUUAUUGUACAGGAGCAAACUGCAGCUGAGAAGAGAGUGAUAAUAUGUGAGAGGAGCAACUAUACCAAGAUCAGUGCAGAAGGAGUGGGAGCAGGUGCUCCAGGUACUGGAGCUGAGAUUCGCCUGCAGCCCCUGGUGCAGCCCACGGUGAAGCAGCUGUGCCCCUGCAGCCCAUGCAGAUCCACAGUGUAGCAGAUUUCCCCCUUCAGCCCAUAAAGGAUCCUACACCAAAGCAGGUGGAUGGUCAAAGGAGGCCGUGACCCCAUGGGAAGCCUGUGCUGGAUCAGGCUCCUGCCAGGACAUGCAGACACUCGGGAAGAGGAGCCCAUGCUGGAGCAGGUUUGCUGGCAAAACCUGUGACCCUGCAGGGGUCCCACCCUGGAGCAGCCUGUUCCCAUAGAACUGCACCCUGCGGGAAUGCUCACCUUGGAGAAGCUGGUGAAGGACUGUCUCCUGCAGGACGGAUCCCACACUGGAGCAGGGAAGAGCCUGAGGAGACCUCCCCCGAGGCAGAGGGAGUGGCAGAGACAAGGUGUGAUGAACUGGCUGUCACUCACACUCCUCAUCUCCCCAUCCUGCUGGCAGGGAAGAGGCAGAGCAAUCAGGAGGGAAGUUGAGCCUGGGAAAAGGGAGGUGUAGGGGAAAAUGCUUGUGAGAUUUGGUUUUAUUUCUCAUUGCCCUACUCUGAUUUGAUUGGUAAUAAAUUAAAUUCAUUUUUCCCAAGUCAUGUCUGUUUUACCCAUGACAGUAAAUGGUGAGUGAUGUCUCCCUGUCCUUAUCUUGACCCAGGAGCAUUUCAUUGUAUUUUCUCUCCCAUGUCCAGCUGAGAAGGAGAGUGAUAGAGCAGCAUUUGUGGGCAUGUUUACAGGAAAAAUUACUAAGGAAAAUUAAAAAAAAAUUGUUAAGGAGCACAUAAAAAAAAGAAAAAUAUGAAAAUCAGAUUUCCAUCUUUUAAAAAUAAUUUAGAAAUU